UAAGCAUAUCAAUAAGCGGAGGAAAAGAAACUAACAAGGAUUCCCCUAGUAACUGCGAGUGAAGCGGGAAGAGCUCAAAUUUAAAAUCUGGCGGUCUCUGGCCGUCCGAGUUGUAGUCUGGAGAAGUGCUUUCCGCGCUGGACCGUGUACAAGUCCCUUGGAACAGGGCGUCAUAGAGGGUGAGAAUCCCGUCUUUGACACGGACUACCAGUGCUUUGUGAUGCGCUCUCAAAGAGUCGAGUUGUUUGGGAAUGCAGCUCAAAAUGGGUGGUAAAUUCCAUCUAAAGCUAAAUAUUGGCGAGAGACCGAUAGCGAACAAGUACCGUGAGGGAAAGAUGAAAAGCACUUUGGAAAGAGAGUUAAACAGUACGUGAAAUUGCUGAAAGGGAAACACUUGAAGUCAGUCGCGUCGGCCAGAACUCAGCCUUGCUCUUUUGCUCGGUGCACUUUCUGGUUGACGGGCCAGCAUCGAUUUUGACCGUUGGAUAAAGGUUGGGGGAAUGUGGCACCUUCGGGUGUGUUUAUAGCCCUCGGUCACAUACA
rnacentral:rRNA from 1 species